GAUUUGUUGAGGUAGUUGUUGUGGGUUCUGGCGUUGUUGUUGGUUCAGGUGUGGGUGUUGUUGUGGGUUCUAGUGUUGUUGUUGGUGCAGGUGUUGGAGGAUUUAUUGUGGUGGUUGUUGUGGGUUCUGGCGUUGUUGUUGGUGCAGGUGUGGGUGUUGUUGGAGGAUUUGUUGUGGUAGUUGUUGUGGGUUCUGGUGUUGUUGUGGCUGCAGGUGUUGGAGGAUUUGUUGUGGUAGUUGUUGUGGGUUCUGGCGUUGUUGUUGGUGCAGGUGUUGGAGGAUUUGUUGUGGUGGUUGUUGUGGGUUCUGUCGUUGUUGUUGGUGCAGGUGUGGGUGUUGUUGUGGGUUCUGGUGUUGUUGUGGCUGCAGGUGUUGGAGGAUUUGUUGUGGUAGUUGUUGUGGGUUCUGGCGUUGUUGUUGGUGCAGGUGUGGGUGUUGUUGUGGGUUCUGGCGUUGUUGUUGGUGCAGGUGUGGGUGUUGUUGUGGCUGCAGGUGUUGGAGGAUUUGUUGUGGUAGUUGUUGUGGGUUCUGGUGUUGUUGUGGCUGCAGGUGUUGGAGGAUUUGUUGUGGUAGUUGUUGUGGGUUCUGGCGUUGUUGUUGGUGCAGGUGUUGGAGGAUUUGUUGUGGUAGUUGUUGUGGGUUCUGGCGUUGUUGUUGGUGCAGGUGUGGGUGUUGUUGUGGGUUCUGGUGUUGUUGUUGGUGCAGGUGUGGGUGUUGUUGUGGGUUCUGGUGUUGUUGUGGCUGCAGGUGUUGGAGGAUUUGUUGUGGUAGUUGUUGUGGGUUCUGGUGUUGUUGUGGCUGCAGAAGUUGGAGGAUUUGUUGUGGUAGUUGUUGUGGGUUCUGGCGUUGUUGUUGGUUCAGGUGUGGGUGUUGUUGUGGGUUCUAGUGUUGUUGUUGGUGCAGGUGUUGGAGGAUUUAUUGUGGUGGUUGUUGUGGGUUCUGGCGUUGUUGUUGGUGCAGGUGUGGGUGUUGUUGUGGGUUCUGGUGUUGUUGUGGCUGCAGGUGUUGGAGGAUUUGUUGUGGUAGUUGUUGUGGGUUCUAGCGUUGUUGUUGGUGCAGGUGUUGGAGGAUUUGUUGUGGUAGUUGUUGUGGGUUCUGGCGUUGUUGUUGGUUCAGGUGUGGGUGUUGUUGUGGGUUCUGUCGUUGUUGUUGGUGCAGGUGUGGGUGUUGUUGUGGGUUCUAGUGUUGUUGUGGCUGCAGGUGUUGGAGGAUUUGUUGUGGUAGUUGUUGUGGGUUCUGGCGUUGUUGUUUGUUCUGGUGUUGUUGUUGGUGCAGGUGUGGGUGUUGUUGUGGGUUCUGGCGUUGUUGUUGGUGCAGGUGUUGGAGGAUUUGUUGUGGUAGUUGUUGUGGGUUCUGGUGUUGUUGUGGCUGCAGGUGUUGGAGGAUUUGUUGUGGUAGUUGUUGUGGGUUCUGGCGUUGUUGUUGGUGCAGUUGUGGGUGUUGUUGUUGGUGCAGUUGUGGGUGUUGUUGUGGGUUCUGGUGUUGUUGUGGCUGCAGGUGUUGGAGGAUUUGUUGUGGUAGUUGUUGUGGGUUCUGGUGUUGUUGUUGAUGCAGGUGUGGUAGUUGUUGUGGGUUCUGGCGUUGUUGUUGUUGGUGCAGGUGUUGGAGGAUUUGUUGUGGUAGUUGUUGUGGGUUCUGGCGUUGUUGUGGCUGCAGGUGUUGGAGGAUUUGUUGUGGUAGUUGUUGUGGGUUCUGGCGUUGUUGUUGGUUCAGGUGUGGGUGUUGUUGUUGGUUCUUGCGUUGUUGUUGGUGCAGGUGUGGGUGCUGUUGUAGGAACUAUUGUGGUUGUUGUUGUGGGUUCUGGUGUUGUUGUUGGUGCAGGUGUGGGUGUUGUUGUAGGAACUAUUGUGGUGGUUGUUGUGGGUUCUGGCGUUGUUGUUGGUUCAGGUGUGGGUGUUGUUGUAGGAACUAUUGUGGUUGUUGUUGUGGGUUCUGGCGUUGUUGUUGGUGCAGGUGUGGGUGUUGUUGUGGGUUCUGGCGUUGUUGUUGGUGCAGGUGUUGGGGGAUUUGUUGUGGUGGUUGUUGUGGGUUCUGGUGUUGUUGUGGCUGCAGGUGUUGUUAUAGGAUUUAUUGUGGUGGUUGUUGUGGGUUCUGGCAUUGUUGUUGGUGCAGGUGUGGGUGCUGUUGUGGUUUCUGGUGUUGUUGUGGCUGCAGGUGUUGUAGGAAUUAUUGUGGUGGUUGUUGUGGGUUCUGGUAUUGUUGGUGCAGGUGUGGUUUCUGGUGUUGUUGUGGGUUCUGGUAUUGUUGUUGGUUCAGGUGUGGUUUCUGUUGUUGUUGUUGUGGGUUCUGGUAUUGUUGUUGGUGCAGGUGUGAUUUCUGGUGUUGUUGUGGGUUCUGGUGUUGUUGUUGGUGCAGGUGUGGUUUCUGGUGUUGUUGUGGGUUCUGGUAUUGUUGUUGGUGCAGGUGUGGUUUCUGGUGUUGUUGUGGGUUCUGGUAUUGUUGUUGGUGCAGGUGUGGUUUCUGGUGUUGUUGUGGGUUCUGGUAUUGUUGUUGGUGCAGGUGUGGUUUCUGGUGUUGUUGUGGGUUCUGGUGUUGUUGUUGGUGCAGGUGUGGUUUCUGGUGUUGUUGUGGGUUCUGGUAUUGUUGUUGGUGCAGGUGUGGUUUCUGGUGUUGUUGUGGGUUCUGGUGUUGUUGUUGAUGCAGGUGUGGUUGUUGUGGUUACUGUUGUAGGUUUUGUUGUUGAAGUUGUUGAAGGUAUUGUUGUAGGUGUUGUUGGAGAUUUUGUGGUUGUGCGUGUUGUUGUAGGUGUUGUUGGAGAUUUUGUGGUUGUGCGUGUUGUUGUAGGUGUUGUUAGAGAUUUUGUGGUUGUGCGUGUUGUAGGUGUUGUUAGAGAUUUUGUGGUUGUGCGUGUUGUUGUAGGUGUUGUUGGAGAUUUAGUUGUUGUGAGUGUUGUUGUAGGUGUUGUUGGAGAUUUCGUGGUUGUGCGUGUUGUUGUAGGUGUUGUCGGAGAUUUUGUGGUUGUGCGUGUUGUUGUAGGUGUUGUUGGAGAUUUUGUGGUUGUGCGUGUUGUUGUAGGUGUUGUUAGAGAUUUCGUGGUUGUGCGUGUUGUUGUAGGUGUUGUUAGAGAUUUUGUGGUUGUGCGUGUUGUAGGUGUUGUUGGAGAUUUUGUGGUUGUGCGUGUUGUAGGUGUUGUUGGAGAUUUAGUGGUUGUGCGUGUUGUAGGUGUUGUUAGAGAUUUUGUGGUUGUGCGUGUUGUAGGUGUUGUUAGAGAUUUUGUGGUUGUGCGUGUUGUGGUAAGUGUUGUUGGAGAUUUUGUGGUUGUACGUGUUGUUGUAGGUGUUGUUAGAGAUUUUGUGGUUGUACGUGUUGUUGUAGGUGUUGUUGGAGAUUUUGUUGUUGUAGGUGUUGUUGGAGAUUUUGUUGUUGUGCGUGUUGUUGUAGGUGUUGUUGUCUGCUUUGUUGUGGAUGUUGUUGUAGAUGUUGCUGCAGCAAUAACACUGCGUCUGUUUCUGAUGAAACUGAUUGGAAAUCUUUCCACUGAAGGUUGAUCGGUGUAGGACAGAGUUAUCUUGCGAAUGGGGAAAUCCUCCAGUACCAGCUCAAAUGAAUAAACUCCAGGGACCAGGGUUUGUUCAUAGGACAGAGAGCAGUUAUUCUACAUUUUAAAGAAAAUAAAAACUUUUAUGAAAUAACUAAUAUACAUAUAUGUUGUAAAUGCUGUGUAGAAAUCAGACUUUAAAACGAAGCUUUUGUAUUAAGCAUAUAUAACACUUGAUUUCAGUUUAUUUUGCAAUGAUAACAUCAAUUUACAACAUCAUAACAAUCAAUUGUAAAACUACAUCCUUAUGGGAAUGGAUUUUCUCAAGCUUUCUGUUUCUCACUGUACUAUUUCCGACAUUAAUCCCAUAAUGGAAAUUUAUUUCCUCCUUGAAUUUAGUGGUAAAUAGUUGCUUGUCAUCCAAUUUCAAUAUCAACUAUGCAGGUUUUAAGAAAUGGUAUGUUAAGUUAGGCCCAAAAGAAAUAUAGAUCGUAUUGUCACCAUAACAAUGAAAACUAACUUUAUGUUAAGUGUAGCAUAAAGAAUGGAAAUUUAUGGACCAUGUAUGGCACCUUGUGGCACUGUAUAUUGAAUUUGUGACCAAAAUUAUACCUCUUAACUUGAUCUAAUGUAAUACCUAAAAUACCAAUAUCAUUAUGAGAUUAUCCAAGAGACUUUUGUAGUUAAUUGUAUCAAAUGCAGCAUUGGGGUUUAUUAACAAUAUUACAGAAAUGCCACCACAAUAAGAUAGAACAAGACGUUAGUAACUCUAAUGCUAUAAAAUGGCUGAAAUCCUGACUAGAAUUCCAUAUACAUUUGUACACUUUCAUAUACAUAUGUCUAUUUUUCCUCACCUGAUUUAAAGUGAAACCAUCAGUUUGGUUGCAGAUUCCACAUUCAGUGUUUUGUGCAAAUCUGCAUCUGACCUGGUCAUCAUCUGGAUCAAAGGCUAAAAGGUUGUACCUCCUGGCACAGUUUUGAGGAACUCUGCAACACAAACAAAGUGCCAAUGUCAUGUACAUUUAUAUUCCUACAUCAUGUUGAAUGCACAUCUAGAAUGCAGUUUUUACCUAAGAAGUGGUAGAGUGGUAGAGAUUGGGGAUCUGUUAGGCACUAAAGUGUCUGAUCUCACUCCCAGAUCAAUGAAAGAAAAAAGAUUCCAGAAUCCGGAGUAUGCGACUAUGUUGUUGAUCCAACAGCAACCCAUUGACCUGUUGAAAUAAAUUGGCAUUUCAUAUUUACAUUGUUUGGUUGGGAUCUAUAUUGUAAGUGUGUGAUUCUGUUAUUCCACUUACACUAACUCAAAUGGUCUGUUGGUGGAUAAAUCCUUUGUUAUGACUCCCUCAGACUGACACCAGUUGUUUCCAUUGGAACUCGAAUCUAUUGUUCCAAUCACGUUACUGACCUCAUUUCCACAGUCUCCAGACAUGCAGGACCAGUGGUUAUACUGGGAACAGUCAUUGUAGGCCAUCUUGUAGCGAAGUUCCACCUGAAAUAAUCAAUAGUUUAAUAAAUGACUGAAGUGAGGUCUUAAAUGUAUGUGAUUGAUGUUGAAAUCUGCUGGUAAGAUGUGCAAACAUCUUUAUUUAAAAAAUACAGCACUGCAGAAAAUCAAAUUUUAAUAGCUGUUGUUUUCACAUUUCAUGAUUAUCUAGGGUAACAUUCAGUUGCCGUCAUGUUCAUACUACAUAACCAUAGAUAUGUACUCUAGAUAUCGCAUACGGACCUUGAGCAUGCGCCGCCACAUUUGUAUAGUGCUCCCAGGACAAACGUCAUUCAACCGCACUAGUCAAGACUAAAGCCAAUGUGAGAUGCUGAACUUUAGCGCUGUGUAUGGGUGUAGUAUUGAACAAACAAAGAAAACAAAGCACGAAGGCAGAACAUUUCAGAGGUAAAAUUGAGUUUUUUACGUUCUUGGAUGUUACAAACG
ensembl:lincRNA